AUACUUACCUGGCAGGGGAAGAUACCAUGAUCAAAAAGGUGGUUUUCCCAGGAUGAGGCUGAUUCAUUGCACACUGAAUGGGUUGAUCCCUGUGAUGUCCUCAAAUGCAGGAUACUCAACUGCAUAAUUUAUGGUAGUGGGGGACUGCGUUCGCGCUGUCCCCUG